rnacentral:rRNA from 1 species
AGAGUUUGAUCCUGGCUCAGAACGAACGCUGGCGGCAUGCCUAACACAUGCAAGUCGAACGAGACCUUCGGGUCUAGUGGCGCACGGGUGCGUAACGCGUGGGAACCUGCCUUUAGGUUCGGAAUAACUCCCCGAAAGGGGUGCUAAUACCGAAUAAUGUCUUCGGACCAAAGAUUUAUCGCCUUUAGAUGGGCCCGCGUUGGAUUAGCUAGUUGGUGGGGUAAAGGCCUACCAAGCCUUCGAUCAGUAACUGGUGUGAGAGCACGACCAGUCACACGGGCACUGAGACACGGGCCCGACUCCUACGGGAGGCAGCAGUAAGGAAUAUUGGUCAAUGGAGGCAACUCUGAACCAGCCAUGCCGCGUGAAGGAUGAAGGUCCUCUGGAUUGUAAACUUCUUUUAUGUGGGAAGAAAUGCAUUCUUUAUAGAGUGUUUGACGGUACCAUAGGAAUAAGCACCGGCUAACUCCGUGCCAGCAGCCGCGGUAAUACGGAGGGUGCGAGCGUUAUCCGGAUUUACUGGGCGUAAAGCGUGCGUAGGUGUCUUCUUAAGUCUUCGGUGAAAUCUCCGGGCCCAACUCGGAAACUGUCGAAGAUACUGGGAGGAUCGAGUAUGGCAGAGGCAGAUGGAAUUGAUGGUGUAGCGGUAAAAUGCGUAGAUAUCAUCAAGAACACCCAUGGCGAAGGCAAUCUGCUGGGCCAUUACUGACACUGAGGCACGAAAGCGUGGGGAGCGAACGGGAUUAGAUACCCCGGUAGUCC